rnacentral:lncRNA from 1 species
CUGCAAACCCUUGGAGGUGGCAUUGCCAAAAGCGGACGUCAAUAGAUGUAAUGCAAAAAUAGUGUCUUGUGUUCAAAAAAGGUUGGGAAAUACUGAGUGAAAGGAAUUGGCUCAGGCAAUGGUGAAGAUUUGGCAAGUCCAAAAUCUGAUGGAGGAGUCUGGCGGGAUGGAGACUCCGAAAAGAGUUGCAGUUUGAGUCAAAAGGCAAGCUGUCAGUGAGCUAGGAAGAGCCGACGAUGUUGCAGUUCAAGUCCAAAGACCCUCUGCCAGCAAACUUCCCUCCUGCUCGGAGGAGCUAAAUCUUUUGUUCUAUUUAAGCCUUCACCUAAUUGGAUAAGGCCCACCUGCAUUAUGGAGCUCAUCUGCUCUACUCAAAUCUACUAAUUUGAAUGCUAAUCUCAUCCAAAAACACUGUCACAG